AUUGAACGCUGGCGGCAGGCCUAACACAUGCAAGUCGAACGGUAGCACAGGGAGCUUGCUCUUGGGUGACGAGUGGCGGACGGGUGAGUAAUGUCUGAGAAACUGCCCGAUGGAGGGGGAUAACUACUGGAAACGGUAGCUAAUACCGCAUAACGUCUUCGGACCAAAGUGGGGGACCUUCGGGCCUCACACCAUCGGAUGUGCCCAGAUGGGAUUAGCUAGUAGGUGGGGUAAUGGCUCACCUAUGCGACGAUCCCUAGCUGGUCUGAGAGGAUGACCAGCCACACUGGAACUGAGACACGGUCCAGACUCCUACGGGAGGCAGCAGUGGGGAAUAUUGCACAAUGGGCGCAAGCCUGAUGCAGCCAUGCCGCGUGUAUGAAGAAGGCCUUCGGGUUGUAAAGUACUUUCAGCGGGGAGGAAGGCGAUGGAGUUAAUAGCUUCAUCGAUUGACGUUACCCGCAGAAGAAGCACCGGCUAACUCCGUGCCAGCAGCCGCAGUAA
rnacentral:rRNA from 1 species